ensembl:lncRNA
ACCAUGUAUCUCUGCCGGUACUUUUGUAUUAAUUCUCUGAGAGAACUGGCGACUCCCUCUGGGACAGGACUACAGUGAUCCUGUCUGGGGCACUUGCUCACUCACAAUGACGGUACGGACUUUGAAUUUCCCGCAAAGAGGGCCUGCAUCCUGGAUGUUCAGGAUGAAUGCGAGGUCGACGGGGAGCUGCUCAUCACUGCUCUCGCUUCCAGCCGUGUGACGUGUCUGUGACCCGGUGAGAGACGCGCCGAUUUACCACCUCGUUCAGCGUCGGACAGGGACACGACAGUCCAGUGUUUCAGCUGCAUCUGAACCAAAGAUGUUUCCUGGUCCGUCUGGAGUAGAGUGUCGCGCUGUGAAAGGAGCGCCAGCUUCCUCUGCAUUUUAUCCUCUAUAAAUGAAGAAUAAUGUUUUUUACUUUAUUGUGGUGCUGUAAUUAAAAAAAAAUCAUUAAAUCAAUGAAUUAAUAGUGUAAAUAAAUGAACUGGAGCUGGCAGUCUGCCGUGUUGUUACAGCCCCUUUGUAGCCUCGCUCUUGGGUAUCGCAGGGGCAGGUGGAGCAGCAGUGCUGCUCCAUGGUGCCACCGCUUCGCUUUGGGGGCUUUUCCCUCCCAUAGGCGACACAUGAAUAUUUGAUGGUUCCCCACACUGCCUUUUGUGUGUCGCUCCUGUGACCGCCGCGUGGCCUGGGCAGUCGCAGAGACGAGGGGGAGGGGGGGAACGGAGGCCGCGGUAUCGGUGAGAUGAGACAUGAAACCCAGGAGAGUUUCCAGCUGAGAGAGAGGAGACGGGAAAGGCAGGAAGAGGACUGUGUGUUUACAUGUGAGCGCUCCGAGGCUGCGCCAGGUAUGUCCCGCAGGAGAAGAGGCCAGGGGUCUGAGGCCAGCAGCAGGGCUCCGGGUCCCAGCAGAAGGAAGGGUCUUCCGAAAGAAGCUCUCCUCCACACCACUCCUGCUUCAGGGGCCAUGGUCCCGCUGACGUCCCGGGACACGCUGGUGCUCCUGAAUCCCUCGAACAGUCGGACAGAAGCGGUGAAGUGCGGCCAUGCAGCGCUGCAGCACCCCGUUCACGCCAGGAGGAGAAGGCAUCCUCCGCCAGCUUUGACCUCCGCUGACCUCCCAGACGCCCUGACUCCGUGGGUGGCGCCCUCUCGGUCAGAGUCCUCGUGCAGCAGCAUCCCGCCAGCUCGGCCCGUUUGUCCCGCCCUGCUCUCUUCUCCCCGCCCGAGGGGCCGGCUGGAACGCGUCAGGGAUGGUGGUGGUGGAUUCCGCUCCCCCGCGAACGCGGCACCUCCUCAGGACGCUGACAGGUUCCCGGGAGGAUGUCGUAAGCUCCUCCCCCGACAGUUUCCCUCACGCGCCUCCCGCCUCCCUCCGCUGCAGCCCAUCUCCAACCUCAGCUUCUCCCGCAGCUUCACCUUCUCAUUCUUCCAGCUCCCCCUGCACCAAUCGGCCCGGAGCCGCGCUGACCGCAUGCGGGACCUCACUCCGCUUCUGCGUCAGGGGCGGCACUGACACCAACAUAAACCGCAUCAGCAGAAGCUGCAGUGGUGCUCAGUGCAGCCACAGCACCUGCAGCCACCUCUGUCUGCACUGACCCAAAAUGACCACGUGGACCAUGCAGUGACUGGAUGGCAACCUGCUCUUAGCCCACUGCUGCACUGACCACAUUUGAACCGGACGAGAGCUGCACAGCUGCAGUCUGGCACCCAAACACUGAAUGUCCUAUAAAUGUGUGUUCAGCAACCAUCCUGCAGCUGGGCUCGAUGGGGAAACGGCACCACCUGCAAAACGAUUGCAGCCCUGUGCUAACUGCACCACACACACACACGGCUGUGUGUCAUGUCAUAUAACUGCACUGCGCGCACACACACUGGCUGUGUGCAUAACUGCAGAACACACACAUACAGGCUGUGUAUAUAUUUGAGAUUGUAGAACAUGCUUGUUUGUAUUUAAUGUUAGUGAUAGUGGUUUAGGUGAACAAAAGAUGCACUGUAUGUCUCAGAUUGUGUACAUUAGCUGUAGGCAGACAUGGUAAUUAUACCUUCUCCAGCUCAGUGUUUACUCUUUCCCACACUCCUGUAGUGUUUACUAGCUUUUGGGCUGCAUUAGUAUUGGUAGAGAGGGGGCCCACAGUGGUAAUUUCCAGUGGGGGCUGGAUGUGUCGCCAAGGUGGCUGGACUCGUGGGUGAGUUGAGCCGUGAAUAUGGCGGUAUGAUGAAGUCAUCCAUAAAAUUACAGCAGACUCUGCCCCGGCCGCCUCGCCCAAAGGGGGAGAGAAUUAAAGUGCAAUCAGAACGACGCGGAGCUGAGAACAGAUCAGGGCAAAGGUGGUGGAGUUCCCGAAUCUGGAGAAGAGGCACCUGUCAGGUAAGACACCUGCUCACCUGUCGUACUUCUCGGUGCUAUUCGUAAGGGGUGGUGCGCAGGGCCGGUAGAGACAUACAGACACACGCCUGUGCGGUAACUGACUCGCCCCCCCGGGGAUCAGCACACGUAAUAUUCUCGUUCCACG